AGUGAACGCUGGCGGUAGGCCUAACACAUGCAAGUCGAACGGCAGCACAGUAAGAGCUUGCCCUUACGGGUGGCGAGUGGCGGACGGGUGAGGAAUACAUCGGAAUCUACUUUUUCGUGGGGGAUAACGUAGGGAAACUUACGCUAAUACCGCAUACGACCUACGGGUGAAAGCAGGGGAUCUUCGGACCUUGCGCGAUUGAAUGAGCCGAUGUCGGAUUAGCUAGUUGGCGGGGUAAAGGCCCACCAAGGCGACGAUCCGUAGCUGGUCUGAGAGGAUGAUCAGCCACACUGGAACUGAGACACGGUCCAGACUCCUACGGGAGGCAGUAGUGGGGAAUAUUGGACAAUGGGCGCAAGCCUGAUCCAGCCAUACCGCGUGGGUGAAGAAGGCCUUCAGGUUGUAAAGCCCUUUUGUUGGGAAAGAAAAGCAGCAGGUUAAUACCCCGCUGUUCUGACGGUACCCAAAGAAUAAGCACCGGCUAACUUCGUG
rnacentral:rRNA from 1 species